rnacentral:lncRNA from 1 species
GAUUGUUUAGGUCUGUCUUAAUUUCUUCCAGCAGUGGUUCCUAGUUUCCAUUGUACGACACUUAGGUUUUCCUCAAUUAUUACGUAUUUUUAUGCUGUUGUAAAUGGUACUGAUUUUUAUUUUCAAUGUUGGGUGGCUGAUUGCUAGUAUAUAGAACCCAGUUCCAUUCUGCGUGCUGUACUGUUUCCAGAAGCCCAGACUGAAGCACUCAGACCAGAAGCAUCUCUGAGUGUCUCCUAGAUGCUGAGCUGGGUGUGAGCAGAUUCACCCUCCUCUGGUCUCCUCCACUGUCUCCACUGAGAGAUGCGUCUCUGAUCAAGGGCUUUCUGCCUGUGAAACAUGAACCAGGCUGCAGCCCAGAGACGUCCAAAAGUCUGAGUCAGUGGGGGCAACUUUGGAUCCAGAGAAGUGGCUGGGGACCCUGGAACCUUGAUUCUUACCUGAGUCUGACUUGAAACUGAGGAGAUACUGGAGGGGGCUCCCUGUUUCUGCUGCUAUCAGCUCAUCCAGAAGCCACCACCACUGAGAACACUGCUUAGGGUGCAGAGGCCCGAAAGAGGAGCAGCUGCUCACACAGACUCCCCUUACUGGAGAAUCUGCUCCAUCCUGAGCAUCAACUGAAGUCUGAGCUGGACUCUGUAGACAGACUAGAGUCUGAAGGUGAGACCCAGAGUUUGCUGUGGAAGGGACCAGCUACUGGGACCCUCCACAGCCCUGUGAGCAGGAGACUCUGUCCAGCCCAGAGAGGACACAGCUGCAGGGUCCCCAUCAGCACAGGAGGCUCCAAGGCCCCAGCCCUGGGGAGUUUGUAGGAUUACACAGCAGGGGCCACCCACUGAGCAGACCCUGGGGAGACCCACAGUGC